rnacentral:tRNA from 1 species
GCGAGAGUCGCAUAGCAUGGCCAAUUGCGCCAGGUUGAGGGCCUGGUUCCGUAGGGAUCCGAGGGUUCAAAUCCCUCCUCUCGCA